AUCAUGUGUCUCUAGCCCUAAGGACUUUUUCUGUAAGUAGAUCUUCUAUAUCCCUCUUCUUAUAAGUGACAUCUCUACCAAAUUACUGAUUGCUCAGCAAACCUCAUAUUUUACUCGUAAACCUGCUAUGCCUUGUCUCCCCACUUCAUUCCUGUGUGCUCUAGAAAAAUCCUGUUACUAUCUCAAAUUUUACACACCACCAUAUUCACCCAAAGGCUCUGGGAAUGAACUAUAACCUCAUUUCCCUUUUCCAGCUCCUCAAGGAUCACUGUUUUCCUUCUGUAAUGGUUUAUGACCUGAUAACAUUUGAGGCACACUUUCAAAUACAGUUCUGAUAGUUGAAAGGAUACACGUAUGCACAUGUGUGUAUAUGUAUAUAUGUGCACACACGCUUUUCUCAGUUCAUAGGGAUGCUGCAUUUAGUAGGUCUUUCUUAGUCCCAUUUGUGUUGGCCUGUUUCGCACCACAUCUGUGUCUCUUAUAUACUUGGCAGACAAAGCCAAGUAUAUAUCAAAUAUUUUGGCAAAAAACAUUCUUUUCGGCUCGACAACUUUCUGUGCCUUUUAACUCUCAUUAGAAACAAACUCACCCAAGCCUGCACACUCCCUGCUGGAAGAGAUGCCUUAGGAGCCGUGCUGACUGACUUCCUGGCAUGCAGUUUCUCCUGAGGACCACUCCCAAGACUGUGACUUGGGCAUCUCAGGUAGAAUCCACAUGGCGCAGAAUGACUCUGUGUUUUCGUGGCUUUUUAAAGGGCAAGUGGUUAUGUAUAUGGAUACAAGUUUUGUAUGGCAAAUUGUAUGAAGCAAAAUGUUAGGAUAAACCUACAGCAUAAC
rnacentral:lncRNA from 1 species